UCCCAAACGGCGCCGUUUGCUUCUUAUAAUUUAAGGCCCAAUUUUUUUUAAAAAAUUUCAUUUUAGCCUCCAACUAAAAAAAAAUUGUUAAACCCCCUCUCCCUCUCCUCUUGUCUUCGACCGAGGGAACCCUCAGCAGUCCAUCGCGCCACCGUCGGGGCCGAAGGCCGGCGUUGCGUGAAAGGGAUCCUUUAGUCCCGUUCCAGGUGAACCCGAAAGGCCACGUUCUCCGGACUUCGAAAAUGCAAGUGAAAAAAGUCCCCCUCUUCCUUUUUAAAAAACGACCCCAGCGACGGAGAUGAGGACUCCGAUGACGCGACCACAGGAUAACUCCGGUAAGUUUGUUCUUUUUAUUUUCGUUUAGAGUAGAUUUAUAAAAAAUAAAAGAAAAAUAAAAGUAUAAAACGAAAAGACAUGAAAAUGGAAAUCGAAAUCAACCUUUCUUUUGUAUUCUUGCUUUUCGAUUGUUAGUGUUCGUAAAAAAUUACAAAAGGAUCGAGAAUGGCUUUUAUAGCCGAAUACAUGCCCGUUCGAUUUUCUUCUCUGGUUGUUUCUUCUUUGUUUUUUUGCUUUUUUUUUCUGCUUCUUUUUUUGUUUUUUCCUUCUUUGUUUUUUUGUAUUUUGCGUGUCUUGAUUUGUUUGCAGGUGGUGUCAGAUGCGCGUGCUGCGGCGGUGGCGUGAGGGAAGCUCUGCGCGAGGUGGCCAAUGGUGAGGAGCGGCGGCUGAAGAGAUGGGGGCUAGGGUUGUUGAAACGUUUUGGGUAGUUGGGCUAGGGUUGUUUGGGUAGUGGGCUAAUAAUUGAGUUUGAGUUUGGUUCAAUUUGGGUAUGUAAUGGGCCAUUGGGUUUGGACUUUAAUUUUAUUUAUUAUAUUUUGGAUUUUAUUUUUGGUUUAUUAGUUUGGGUUUAUUUUUGGUUUGUUGGUCUGAGCCAAAAUUGACUGCUACAAUUAUAAUGUAUUUUGGAAUAUAACCAUCUUAGUAAAUAAAUUUUAAAAAGUAAAACAAACAACAAAAACAUGAGGUUACACACUUUUUUCUUUCAUGCUGGUUUGGAAAAUUUUAAAUAAAAUACAAAUUAUUUAAAGACAUUUAUUAAUUAAAUAACUUUAAUGUGCUAAUAAAAUUACAGUGGUUUGCUAGUGCUUUGGUAUUGGUUGGAACAAGUUUCAUUCGUGAGAAAUUGGGGAGGGUUUUAUUUCUGUUUUUGAGUUCUAAUUCUGCUUUUGCUGCCAAAAGCCAUUUUAAUGCACUUUUUUACUAUAAUAAUUCGAUUUUAGAAUAUUUCUAAGGUAGAUCAACAUUCAAUUAGGGAUAACCAUUUGACU
rnacentral:lncRNA from 1 species